rnacentral:RNase_P_RNA from 1 species
AGAGAAGGCUGGACGGUCGCCGGCCGUGGCAACGCGGCGGGAGGAAAGUCCGGGCUCCGCAGGGCAGGGUGCUGGGUAACGCCCAGGGGGGGUAACCCCACGGACCAGUGCCACAGAAAAGAGACCGCCGUCUCGUCGAGCCUGCGAGGGUGGCGAG